AACCACACAUUCAUUCUCUUUUCUCUCUCAUACACAGCUACAUCCAUUGAUUCCCCAUUGACGGCGACACCUCUCUUUCCAAUCCGUGGUCCUGCUCCUCCGGCAAGCUCCCAGGCCGCCAUAAUCCUACCUCCAUGGCGGGCUCCUCCAGUCCCUCCUCCCCUCCCCCUCCCCCUCAUCAGUCUCUUCUCUAGCUGCGAGCAACGGCGCGGCGUGUUUUUACUGGAACCAGCGCAUGAUGAUGAUGCAAUCGGCGCACGGCCGUGCUGGAGUCGGCGCAUGGCCGGCGAUGUGACUACGGAUGUUGCAAGCCCAGCCACUGUGCUGGAACUUCGGUGACGAUGUGCUACAGAGAGAUGCUGGAUCCGACCAUGUCGGAUCUACAACUACUAGCGUUUUUGCAACCCAUGCGGCACCAGUGCUACAAUCGCUACUUUCUUUUGCUAGCACCGUCGAUGAUUUUUGCUGGAACGAGCGAGGGAUUUUGCCGCAUCCUGCAUCAGUUUUUGCUGGAAACUAGCCUCCAUUUUUAUUUGCUACAACCGGUUUUGUGUUUUUGCUGGAACCGACAUAUUAUUUAGCUGGAAGUAGCUUGGUUUUUUGCUACAAUCGACCCUGGAGCUUUUCCCUACUAAAUUUGCUUUUGCUGGAAGCUGUUUUUUUUGCUACAACCACUGGAGCUUUUUUUCUACUGAAUUUGUUUUGCUGGAACUAGAGUUUUUUUUGCUGGAACCUAAUAAUAUUUUUGCUUCAACCGACCACUCGAGGAUUUUGUUUGUUCUUCAGAAUUUUCUUGUUGGACAGCAUGAUGCAAGCCAACAGCCACGGCGAGCCAGAGACGGUGACGUCGGGGGCAUGUUGGAACCAUGGUGAACCGCGAGCUGGAACCAGCCAGGGGGCAUUCGAGUUGCAAUCCUUCAUUGAGCGCGCGCUGGGUGGCCACUGGCGGCCAUGACGCAAUCCCGACGGCCACGGGAGGGGACAGGUCAGAGCUCGUGCAUGCGGGAGCGUGAGGAACAAGGGAAGAAGACGACUAUAAGGGGGGGGGGGGGGGGGGGGCGUCAGAUCUGACGGAUGUAAAUGAAUGAAAUCGGACGGAUGCGCUGCUGCGACCGGCCCAAAUUUGAGCCGGUGCGCCGGCGCCUAUCACUGAUAAUUUAGUAAUGUGGAUAUUAAUAUAUUUUUAUGAAAACUUGGUCAAACAUGUGCAUGGGUUGACUUUUCAAAAAACAAAUACACAAGGAACGGAGGGAGUAUAUCCAAGAAAAAAAAAACCUAGAUCUCGCAAGUGCGCCUGCGGGCGGCGUCGAGGAAAGAAGAAGAGGGAUAACGCUGCUUUUGGAGAUGGAGGUGAUAGGAGAAGCGGAAGGGGGGAGCGGUGGAGAAUCCGCGAAGCACCGCCGUAAGGAGGCCACAUCCUCUUCUAGGAUCGACGACGAUUCAGCCACGCCGGAGCAGAUCUCGGAGAACGAGGAUGACAACUCAACGGAUCUGGAUGAGGAGGUGUUCUUGCCCAAGUACAUGACGGAUGAGGAGAUUAUGCAAGAGUACCGUCUAGGCUGGGAGGGACGAGACUUGCCUGCUCCCUUCCCAUGCUCCCAUCCGUGCUCCCGCAUACGUGGCUUGAUUUGAUUGGAAGAAAAUAAGGCCCGGCCCCACCCCCUGAAAAUCAGGGGGGAGAUGAUUAGAUUAGAAAAGAAAAAGGAAAAAAAACAGCCGUAGGAUGAAGUGGGAGCAUGGAUGGGAGCAUGGAGAGGGAGCAGGCAAGCCGGAUCCGGCUGGGAGUGCAUGUCCUAUGGCAAGUUUGGUAACUUCGAAGAUAAGACGACGAUCAAGAACAUGCUGACCACACACAAACCAUCCCACAUGCUUCGGUCUCCCACACCUUGCAAGUCUACUCCAUCCAAGUCGAGAAGCCGAAACUCGGGUGGCCACUUCGUGUCUAUGGCAUGGUUGCUGCCCGAGACCAUGUGGAUUAUAAUCGCAACUUUCUCUUCAAUCGCACGAGCGAUGACUGCCAAAUCAUUACUGCAGAUGAGCCCUACUUGACGCUGACUGGCCCCUCUCGUGCAAUCCUGUCCCUUGAACCUGUUGACUUUGAAGUUGAUCUUAAGUUCAAGAGAGAGUCUGAAGAUGGAAAAGCAUUGAUCAACCAAGUCCUCCGAUACCAACGGAGCCCUGGUCCUUUCGGUACAAUCUUGGACAACAACCUUUGCACCAUAAGAUUUCAUUGUAAGCAGUUUGGGGAAACGGUCGAGGCCACUAUCCUGAGUGUGCAAAUUAUUCAUGGGUCAUGGCCUAGUCAAUUCGCAGGGAAAGUUUUUAGCAAAGGUGCCUCUCCCCUUGAAGAAUUUCUGUUGCUUGAUUUUCCAGAUGGAGAUAGCCCGCCGGUGGAUCGAGAUGGAAACAUUCAUCUGUCAAGGCGUGUUGUUUCUGUAGAUGUGAACCAAAACUUCCAAGUUUCUGUACAGGCCUACUCUGCAUGUGGUAGCUUGAAAGUGCCCAUUGCAACAGGUGAUGCUGUGUUCGAACCCAAAAAAGACGGCGGCGUAACAGAGAAAGAAUGUGACAUUGGUGCUAGCUGCAGGGUCAAGAUUAAAGUAGCUUGGUCUCUACUUAUUUGGUCCAAGCUUCUACUCCAGGGUUAACAUUAAAGUGGCUUGGUCUACUCCAUUCAGAAAUAUCCUUCCUUCCUUGCUCUAAUGGAACCAAAGGUGUCAUAUGUUCUUGCUGGCUGGAAGAAUAUGCAGUCUUUCCGCGUAGUCUAUUAACUACUUCAGUUAUCUGUAGUGUCAUGAGCUGGUUGUUAUGCAAGAUUAUCUUGGACUCCUAGGUCAUGUCUUAUGAAGUAAUUUAAAUUGUGUCAUGUGAGAUUUCCCGGCUACUUCUGUAUGGAUGCCAUGUAUGCAAAAUGUCAGCUACCCAAGGA